UACGUAGGGGGCAAGCGUUGUCCGGAUUUAUUGGGCGUAAAGAGCGUGUAGGCGGCUAGAUAGGUCCGUUGUGAAAACUCGAGCUCAACCUCGAGACGCCGGUGGAAACCAUCUAGCUAGAGUCCGGAAGAGGAGAGUGGAAUUCCUGGUGUAGCGGUGAAAUGCGCAGAUAUCAGGAAGAACACCCCGUGGCGAAGGCGGCUCUCUGGUACGUGACUGACGCUGAGACGCGAAAGCUAGGGGAGCAAACGGG
rnacentral:rRNA from 1 species